GGCUGGUCUGAAGGUAGUGAGUUAUCUCAAUUGUUCACAGUCAGUUACAGACUGAACUCCUUGUUCUACUCCUUCUCCCCUUCUCACUACUGCAAUUGACUAGGCUUAA
rnacentral:Y_RNA from 1 species